ACUUCGGUGGAUGAGAGAAGAUGGGAGGAAUUUGACAUUAAUAUCCUUAGAGAAAUAUUUUCUAUAUUACCCAACUGUGACCUGUUUUGCAAUGUCUCCUCUGUAUGCCAGUCAUGGAUGUUGGUCUGUUGGGAUAUCUUGUUUUGGAGACAUAAUAUGCUUGAUUUGACUCCUGUCUUGGAAGCUUCUGCGAAUUUUAAUUUCAGAUUUCAAAAAUCAAUGAGUAAGCUGCUAAGGACUGUAAUGGAGGGUCAUGAUGCUAAUGGCUUUUCUCUAGAGCGAUGGAGAUUAUCUGUCAAGACUGUUGUGAUCCCCAAAGGUCUUGAUAUUACUGAUGAACACCUUCUGUACAUAGCCAAAAGAACUCCUAACCUUGAAGAUCUUGUACUAGAGGGCACUUAUAAGAUAACAGAAAAAGGCUUUGCUGACGCAAUAUGUAAUUGGAAAAAAGUUCAGCAUAUAGUUCUUCCACUACAAAUGCAGGAAUCUUGUUUUGUUCAGAUCAUACAAGCGAUUAGUGAAAACUGCUCUGAACUUGAGACUCUAUACGUAAUCAACCCUCUUGAAAUGAUGAGAUUUAUAACAGCUGAUAUAGCUGAGACUUUAUGCAGAAUGAAGACCUUAGUGACCCUAGUUUUUGAAGGUGCUUGCUUGUACAGGGAGGCCAUUAAUAUGAUCUUUGAUGAGUGCCUUAAGCUGGAAACACUUCAUAUACGGGACUGUUGCUUAAUGGCGGAUGGCCUUGAAUUGGCAGGUUUUAUGACUGCCAAUAUAAGGCUUGGUGAAAUGGAAAUUGGCAGUGGGCGCUUUUGGAGAAUUGAAGGAAGUGAAACAAGAGGGAAACCUGAUCAAGUGUCGUAUGUGCAGAAGAAAUUUAUGCAAUGGAGGAAUGAAUCACCAGGUUUAUAUUUUGAUAUUGAGUUGAAUGAUGAAAACGCUUUAUUGGAUGAUGAUGAUUUUAUUGUUUUGUAAGUUAAAGAGUAGAUUUAACCAAAGUAAAUUAUCUUAUGAUUAUUUGUAUUUAUUGACUAAUGGAGAUUAGAG
rnacentral:misc_RNA from 1 species